rnacentral:rRNA from 1 species
CGGGUCUGGCCUUAGUACGAGAGGACCGGGCUGGACCGACCUCUGGUGAACCAGUUGUGCCGCCAGGUGCAUUGCUGGGUAGCUACGUCGGGUCGGGAUAAGCGCUGAAAGCAUCUAAGUGCGAAACCCGCCGCGAGAUAAGGCUUCCUUAUAGGGCCGUGGCAGACUACCACGUCGAUAGGCCGCAGGUGUAAAGGCAGAGAUGCCAAAGCCGAGCGGUACUAAUAGCCCGAAGCUUUCCAUGCC